AACGAGCGCUGGCGGCAGGCUUAACACAUGCAAGUCGAGCGCCCCGCAAGGGGAGCGGCAGACGGGUGAGUAACGCGUGGGAAUCUACCCAUCUCUACGGAAUAACGCAUGGAAACGUGUGCUAAUACCGUAUACGUCCUUCGGGAGAAAGAUUUAUCGGAGAUGGAUGAGCCCGCGUUGGAUUAGCUAGUUGGUGGGGUAAGGGCCUACCAAGGCGACGAUCCAUAGCUGGUCUGAGGGGAUGAUCAGCCACACUGGGACUGAGACACGGCCCAGACUCCUACGGGAGGCAGCAGUGGGGAAUAUUGGACAAUGGGCGCAAGCCUGAUCCAGCCAUGCCGCGUGAGUGAUGAAGGCCCUGGGGUUGUAAAGCUCUUUCACCGGUGAAGAUAAUGACGGUAACCGGAGAAGAAGCCCCGGCUAACUUCGUGCCAGCCGCCGCGGUAACAC
rnacentral:rRNA from 1 species